ensembl:lncRNA
CAAAACCUAAACUAAACCAAAAAAACUUGUGGUACAGGCUGGGGUGUGCCCAGGUCGAGUUGUAGGAGAGGCCAGAGUGAGGAGUCUGGAUGUGGCACCAAGACCGAAACCCAUGGACAAGUGAACAUAGAGUAUGGGUGUUCUUGAGGGGCACACUUGAGACAAUGAAGAAAAAAGCCAGGUGUUUUGCCACCCAGGCAAAUUGCCACAGCCCCCGUCACUGAGUGUAGCAAAGCAGGCUCAGCCCAAAGAGGAGCAGGCAGCAACACACCCUUCCUCUGAGGGCUCAAAUCAAGAUGCCAUCUGUUUCACUCAACCAUUUUACAGAUGGAGAAAUUCAGAUCAAGUCAACAUGUUUUUAUUGAGGACCAUCCCUUUGUCCAGGCUUUGGAGGGACCUUGAGGGGAGGCGAGUAGGGGAGGGAGAGAAGAUCCUAAGCUAUUUAAGCUUCACUCCAUGUAACAAGUAACCUGCCCAAGGCCUCAGGCCAAUGUGAUGUGAACAGGCACAAGGUUGAGCAGGACGACUGGAAAAUGACAAGCUGGGUGCAGUGCUAGGGGCAGUGGCAGUCUGGGUGGAUUUCUCAAAAGAAGUGGAUUCAAGUCGACCUUGAAGGGUGGGAAGAUUUGGAGAAGGAAGAGUAGGUUUGCCCAGCCCUUGAGGCUGGGUAGCUGGGCACAGCGUAGCAGGAAAAGGACCUGGCCCAACCUGAUGACUUCAGUGAGACAGGGGGUAUCAAGGGAUGUCAGGCUGAAGAGGGUAGUGCAGGGCCCCAAACAACAAGCUAAGGCUCUAGCUCUGGCCUGGAGAUAGGAGGGAGCCUCUGCAGGUCUUACAUUGGGGAAGGCAGGAUGGUUGUCUCAGGUGUGUCCAUGGUCAGUCUCCCCAAGGCUUAGGUGGUGGGACAAUCUGUUAGGCUCCCUCCCUGCAUAACCACCCUCAAAAAUGUCUCUGCUUCUCAGGUCCUUAAUGCUGGUUCAGUCUCAUCCAAAAGGCCAUCUUCUCCUCCCUGAGCUUCACACCCACCCUUGUGGUGAAAUCCAGCUGCAGGUCCCCGGCCCCGCCUACCUCAGGAAGCCCAGGAUGCCGAGCCUAUGGCUGCAGCAGCACGAGCAGCACUUUCUCGCGGGCGGCGAGUUCAGAGGCAUCGCAUAUGGAAGCGGAGCCCACGAGGCAGGCGCCUGCUGGGAACAAGACCAUCACCCGGGCGUGGAAAGCCGAGGCCUGCGGGGGGGGGGGGGGGGGGGGGGNNNNNNNNNNNNNNNNNNNNNNNNNNNNNNNNNNNNNNNNNNNNNNNNNNGGGGGGGGUUGGGGGUGGAGUGGCUGAGCCUGGCGGCGCGCAGAUGAACAUGAAUACUCAGCGGCCGCAGAGCGUCCCCACGCGCACGCACUGACGCGUGCACGUUCAGGUACGGACCGUCCUCGCUGAAGCUCAGCCACUUGUGUUGUUGAGAUACAUGGAAGUGUUCUGCCCCAGGCGUCCUGAAGAUCCCUGAGGGCACGAUAUGAAUUUGGGCUCAGUGUGAUGCCCACAAAGGGGAGAAUGGUUGUAAACACAGUUCCUAAAGUUGAGGGAAUAGAACCAAAAGCAAAAUUUAGGCAGUGUGUGUGUGUGUGUGUGUGUGUGUGUGCGCGCGCGCGCGCACCUAUCUGCCUGUAUCUGAGUGGCUUUCACUAGCUUUAGGGUCCAGGGGUGGGAGGCAGCUUGGCCUCCCCAAGAUCCACCCCUCUGCUUUGAGCCUGGCCCCAUGAGUCUGUGUGAGGAGAGGUUCUCUGCUCCUGUUGGAGACCCUGUUGGUGCCGUCAAGCCAGAAACCUGGGUGCCCUGGGCACCUCUCUGUCUUUCAUGUCCUCUCCUUCCCCUCAGUCUCUGUUCUGCCUUCCAAACAGCUCUUAAAUAGGCCUCCUCCUCUAUUCCAGAGCUGCUGCCCUGCAAAGGCCAUUACCACCUCUGACCAGGACACUGCCCCAGCCUCUUUACAUCCCUUCCAACUCAUCCUCCACAGAGGAUUGAUAGAAAACAAAAACCUGACCUUUCCACUCCCCUCCUUAACCAACCCCCCCCCCCCCCCCCCCCC